GUGCAGCCGCCGCGGUAAUACGUAGGUGGCAAGCGUUAUCCGGAAUUAUUGGGCGUAAAGCGCGCGCAGGUGGUUUCUUAAGUCUGAUGUGAAAGCCCACGGCUCAACCGUGGAGGGUCAUUGGAAACUGGGAGACUUGAGUGCAGAAGAGGAAAGUGGAAUUCCAUGUGUAGCGGUGAAAUGCGUAGAGAUAUGGAGGAACACCAGUGGCGAAGGCGACUUUCUGGUCUGUAACUGACACUGAGGCGCGAAAGCGUGGGGAGCAAACAGGAUUAGAUACCCCCGUAGUCC
rnacentral:rRNA from 1 species